GGGCCCCUCGGGCUGCAGGAGGCGGAUGCUGUGGGUGCUCAGAGAUGCGGGUCUGAAGCCUGGGUGGCUCUUCUUUGCUGAACUGCCUGCCUGGAUGCCAGCGCCCACCGCGUCCCCCCAGCCUCCAAGUCAGUCUCAGCCGCCAACAGUGACCAGACCUCCACAUGCGGGAAGCCAGGCCACUGCCCAGCGCCACGCCACUCCCGCCAGAUGCCUGGAGAUCUCCUGGGACAACCUUGCAAUAACUCACGGGCUGCUAACGAAGCAGGCUUGACCCGUCUGUCUCUGUGUGCGAGCAUCCGUCAGCAAAAAACCUGGAUCUGAGUGGCAUCAAGCUGACCACCUAGAGUCCUGAUCUCAUCCCAGUUCUGCAGGAGAACGUUGCAGGGAUUCUCUAGAAACUGCACUUGGAGCCAUGUGGCAUCAAGGACCCCCACCAGGAGGCCAUCCUGCCUGCCCUGAGCCGCUGCUCCCAGCUCAGGUCCACCAGCCUAGGUGGGAACCUCCUCUCCACGGUCGUGAUGGAGAAGCUGCUGAGUCACACAGCUGGGCUGCCCCGCUGAAAGGAUGAGUUUUAUCCCGGCCCCCGGCAGAGUCAGAGCUCUAGAGGACCUCGGCCUGGGGAUACUUGCCCAGCUGCAGGAGGAGCUGAUCGAGCUGAUGAGGGGCUUUGGAGGUCCAGGGCCAUCUGGCUUUGCUCCAGCCCGCGUCCUCGCUGGGGCAGUAAGACGUUCUAUCACGAGGAGUCGUUC
ensembl:lncRNA